UACAGAGGUCCCAAGCGUUGUUCGGAUUCAUUGGGCGUAAAGGGUGCGCAGGCGGCCAAGUGUGUCAGGUGUGAAAUCCCGAGGCUUAACCUCGGAACUGCGCCUGAAACUACUUGGCUAGAGUACUGGAGAGGGUAACGGAAUUCACGGUGUAGCAGUGAAAUGCGUAGAUAUCGUAAGGAAGACCAGUGGCGAAGGCGGGUCUCUGGACAGUUCCUGACGCUGAGGCACGAAGGCCAGGGGAGCAAACGGG
rnacentral:rRNA from 1 species